ACCGUACACACAGGUGCUGCAUGGCUGUCGUCAGCUCGUGUCGUGAGAUGUUGGGUUAAGUCCCGCAACGAGCGCAACCCUCGACUUUAGUUACCAUCAUUAAGUUGGGUACUUUAAAGUAACCGCCGGUGAUAAGCCGGAGGAAGGUGGGGAUGACGUCAAGUCCUCAUGGCCCUUACGCGCUGGGCUACACACGUGCUACAAUGGCAAGUACAGUGGGCAGCAAUCCCGCGAGGGUGAGCUAAUCUCCAAAACUUGUCUCAGUUCGGAUUGUUCUCUGCAACUCGAGAGCAUGAAGGCGGAAUCGCUAGUAAUCGCGGAUCAGCAUGCCGCGGUGAAUACGUUCCCAGGCCUU
rnacentral:rRNA from 1 species